AGGGCGACAAGUUGCGGACCGCAGCAGAGCCCUGCCAGGGGCAGGGCGGGGACCCCCGGGGACCGUACCUGGAGGCAGCGUGCGGCCGGGGCGGGGAUGAGGGGUAGGAGGGGGCAGGGGCGGAGGGUGCCAACAGCGAGCGGAGCAGGAGGCGCCGGGCGGCGGCGGAGCGCGGCCAGGACGGAGCGGAUCCCGAGCGGCGGGCGCGCGCGCGUGCUGUGGCUUAAAGACUCCACGGCAGAGCAAUGAGAGACAAAAGAAGGAAGAAAAGUGCUUGGGCUGUCAAGAUAAUUUGCUACUUCCAACUUUUAGCUGUUCACUCAAGUAUUCCUUGGACUCAAGAAGAUGUUUUUCAUGUAAAGAAAAACAGAUCUGUGAUGUUCAUGCUCCAGUUGUCCAGCUUGGGGCAAGUAGGGCUUGUUUAUUAGAGGGACAGAAAUAUACAGCAUUUCUAAAAAUCAGCAUUACAACAUGGAACUACAGUAAGAUUCAUUUUGCCUGAAUAUAUUUUGAAGUUCAAAGGCAAAUCCUCUUCUAUUGCUACUAUGAAAUUGAUGUUCAGAGAAAAUUUUACAGACAGGUCCAGUAAUGAUCAAUCCUUUUUCCAGGAAUACAAAGAAAGGAGAGACACUAGACUUCUGCCUCCUUGUGUUGCCCACAAAAUUGCCAUGUACUGACUUUUGAAUUUGGAAAUACCAGGAAUCAUCCAUCAGCGAUUGUCUUUGCUUCUGCAAAGGCCUCAUCUCCCCUCUUCACUAGCUAAUAUUGGCCAUCCUAAAUGAUGUUCAACACAUGAAUUUAUCAAUGACCAUGGAUUUGCCUAAGCUUCAAGGCCUCUGAUGACUUCUGAGAGUGUUUUUGCACAUCUUUUCUCCCACCAUGAUGCAGCCUGUAGGCGGAUGAUACAAAUAAGCAUAUUUUUAUGUCUAAAAUAUUUAAUUAGUUAAAUUCUGUUUCUGGAGAUUCAAUACCCUGAAAGAUUAGUAAAAAUAAGCGGAUAGCUAAAGGGAAUAUAGCAUGGCAAACAAAGCGAUUAACAAGGGACAAGUUUUUCAGACAAGCUGGUUUAAAAGGUACUGUCUUUUGUGACACUGUCUUUUUGUCACUCUAGAAUAAAAAGCACAAUACGGACCUUCGGGUUGCCUGAAAACUGCUGAAAUUGGCAGUUCUGGCAGUGACAGGUUUUGAGCAGAAAAAAAAAAAAAGGGUUGUUUUUAUUGUUGGGUUUUUUUGUAUUAUUCCUGCUAAAGGACAAUGAAAAUUUGGAUUUUUAAAAAUGGAUGCUUUUCUGAAGUCCUGAUAAAAGAUGUCAGCCUUUGCCCUAAUUUCAGCUGCUUUAAAGAAUGGCCAGAAUUCAUUUAGCAGUCUGUUCAAUAACUGCUCCUAGUCAGGAAAGCUUUUGUUGCUGAUCCAAGAUUACCUUAUCUUGGGUGGCAAAAAAUCUGUGUUUUAAAAAUGGUUCUGCCUCCCAGGACUUCAAAGAGUUUUCUCCUGUCUGUGACUAAUGUUAGCUAAAACACCCAAAGACAGUUCUAACAUGAAAUGACUUGCCUAGGUUCAACAAGAACAACAAAAAAAUCACAUUGCUCCAUACUGAGUCGACACAAAUGUACCUUCUUUGUCUGUGGAGUCUAGAUAGUAAAAUUUAGGACAAGUGUUGUGCCACAUUCCAUGUUUCUUAGAAAAAAACAUAAACCACAUAAUUGCUUAUGAAUGUAGAUGUAGCCUGUGACAGUUUGCUCAUAUUUUGCAAAAAUAUUGAGCUAUUUAUAAACAUAUCUGGGUUAAGUAA